ensembl:snoRNA
CUUCUUUUAUGGUUCAUAAACAUGAUGGCUGGGUUUUCACAAUCACGUGUAAGAUUUACCUCAAAACUAGCUAUGACACUAGCACAUUUUCUGUCUGACA